CACGAAGGCACCAAGCGUUGUCCGGAUUUAUUGGGCGUAAAGAGCUCGUAGGCGGUUCAGUAAGUCGGGUGUGAAAACUUUGGGCUUAACCCAAAGCGUGCAUCCGAUACUGCUGUGACUUGAGUUCGGUAGGGGAGUGGGGAAUUCCUAGUGUAGCGGUGAAAUGCGCAGAUAUUAGGAGGAACACCGGUGGCGAAGGCGCCACUCUGGGCCGAAACUGACGCUGAGGAGCGAAAGCGUGGGGAGCGAACAGG
rnacentral:rRNA from 1 species